rnacentral:rRNA from 1 species
GCCCGAAUCACCCUAAGGAAUGACGAGGCAAGAAUAGAGAUGGCGACGGCGGCCGGAUCCGAAGAUGGCGGGGCGGUGACCACUCCCGUGAGGCCCGACGGCGAGCAGCUCCUCCUGCUGAGCGCUGAGGGGGUGGGGAGAAGCACUGUACCCUCCUCCCCCGACGACCCGGCCCCCAAACCACUCCACUACGGCGUCCCGA